CCUACGGGAGGCAGCAGUGGGGAAUCUUGCACAAUGGGGGAAACCCUGAUGCAGCGACGCCGCGUGAGCGAUGAAGCCCUUCGGGGUGUAAAGCUCUUUCGGCAGGGACGAUAAUGACGGUACCUGAAGAAGAAGCUGCGGCUAACUACGUGCCAGCAGCCGCGGUAAU
rnacentral:rRNA from 1 species